rnacentral:rRNA from 1 species
GACGGAGGGGGCUAGCGUUGUUCGGAAUUACUGGGCGUAAAGGGCGCGUAGGCGGAUUAGUAAGUUGGGAGUGAAAGCCCGGGGCUUAACCUCGGAACUGCUUUCAAAACUGCUAGUCUAGAGUGAAGUAGGGGGUGAUGGAAUUCCUAGUGUAGAGGUGAAAUUCUUAGAUAUUAGGAGGAACACCGGUGGCGAAGGCGGUCACCUGGACUUCAACUGACGCUGAGGCGCGAAAGCGUGGGGAGCAAACAG